rnacentral:rRNA from 1 species
UAAGCGGUUGAAGGUGUGUGGUAACGCAUGCUGGACGUAUCAGAAGUGCGAAUGCUGACAUGAGUAACGAUAAAGGGGGUGAAAAACCUCCUCGCCGGAAGACCAAGGGUUCCUGUCCAACGUUAAUCGGGGCAGGGUAAGUCGACCCCUAAGGCGAGGCCGAAAGGCGUAGUCGAUGGGAAACGGGUUAAUAUUCCCGUACUUCUUACAAUUGCGAUGGGGGGACGGAGAAGGCUAGGUGGGCCUGGCGACGGUUGUC